rnacentral:rRNA from 1 species
GACUAACGCUGGCGGCGUGCUUAACACAUGCAAGUCGAACGGUGAACCUCUUCGGAGGGGAUCAGUGGCGAACGGGUGAGUAACACGUGGGCAACCUGCCCCCGGCUCUGGGAUAACUCCAAGAAAUUGGGGCUAAUACCGGAUGUUCACCGCUUCCCGCAUGGGUGGUGGUGGUAAGGGUUUCCGGCUGUUGAUGGGCCCGCGGCCUAUCAGCUUGUUGGUGGGGUAGUGGCCUACCAAGGCUACGACGGGUAGCCGGCCUGAGAGGGUGACCGGCCACACUGGGACUGAGACAAGGCACAGACUACUACGGGAGGCAGCAGUGGGGAAUAUUGCGCAAUGGGCGGAAGCCUGACGCAGCGACGCCGCGUGGGGGAUGACGGCCUUCGGGUUGUAAACCUCUUUCAGCAGGGACGAAGCGCAAGUGACGGUACCUGCAGAAGAAGCACCGGCCAACUACGUG